UACGGAGGGUGCUAGCGUUGUUCGGAAUUACUGGGCGUAAAGGGCGCGUAGGCGGCCGUUUGCGUCGGAUGUGAAAGCCCGGGGCUCAACCUCGGAACGGCAUUCGAUACGGGACGGCUGGAGACCGGGAGAGGAGAGUGGAAUAGCCAGUGUAGAGGUGAAAUUCGUAGAUAUUGGCUGGAACACCAGUGGCGAAGGCGGCCAACUGGUCCGAUACUGACGCUGAGGCGCGAAAGCGUGGGGAGCAAACAGG
rnacentral:rRNA from 1 species